GGGGCCCCAGCAAACUUCCAGCUGCCGGCUGAUGAUUGGCUCACAGCGGCCCCAGCAACAUCUAGCUGAUUGGCUCCUCUGCAGUGAUGCUCAUUGGGCUGUUUCCCUGCCCUUUCAGACCACGGAGCUGCUCAUUGGGGGACUUUUUUGGCUCCGCCCACAUGACCCAGCCAAUCGGCCUCAAGAGCAGGAGGAUUGUGGGAGGUGGAGAGAAGCUUGUGUGGGAGAGAGAGGCUUGUGGAAAGCCGGUGGUGGCAGUUGAGGCUCUGAGGAUUUUUCCUGAGAGGCUGUUUUGUUUGGCGUGUGUGGUUCUAAAAAUAAAGUUAGUUUCUUUUGACAAGUGGCUCCUGAUUGUGCCCAGCCAGACUGCGGC
rnacentral:lncRNA from 1 species